UAGAGUUUGAUCCUGGCUCAGAUUGAACGCUGGCGGCAGGCCUAACACAUGCAAGUCGAACGGUAGCACAGAGAGCUUGCUCUCGGGUGACGAGUGGCGGACGGGUGAGUAAUGUCUGGGAAACUGCCUGAUGGAGGGGGAUAACUACUGGAAACGGUAGCUAAUACCGCAUAACGUCGCAAGACCAAAGAGGGGGACCUUCGGGCCUCUUGCCAUCAGAUGUGCCCAGAUGGGAUUAGCUAGUAGGUGGGGUAACGGCUCACCUAGGCGACGAUCCCUAGCUGGUCUGAGAGGAUGACCAGCCACACUGGAACUGAGACACGGUCCAGACUCCUACGGGAGGCAGCAGUGGGGAAUAUUGCACAAUGGGCGCAAGCCUGAUGCAGCCAUGCCGCGUGUAUGAAGAAGGCCUUCGGGUUGUAAAGUACUUUCAGCGGGGAGGAAGGUGUUGUGGUUAAUAACCACAGCAAUUGACGUUACCCGCAGAAGAAGCACCGGCUAACUCCGUGCCAGCAGCCGCGGUAAUACGGAGGGUGCAAGCGUUAAUCGGAAUUACUGGGCGUAAAGCGCACGCAGGCGGUCUGUCAAGUCGGAUGUGAAAUCCCCGGGCUCAACCUGGGAACUGCAUUCGAAACUGGCAGGCUAGAGUCUUGUAGAGGGGGGUAGAAUUCCAGGUGUAGCGGUGAAAUGCGUAGAGAUCUGGAGGAAUACCCGGUGGCGAAGGCGGCCCCCUGGACAAAGACUGACGCUCAGGUGCGAAAGCGUGGGGAGCAAACAGGAUUAGAUACCCUGGUAGUCCACGCCGUAAACGAUGUCGACUUGGAGGUUGUGCCCUUGAGGCGUGGCUUCCGGAGCUAACGCGUUAAGUCGACCGCCUGGGGAGUACGGCCGCAAGGUUAAAACUCAAAUGAAUUGACGGGGGCCCGCACAAGCGGCGGAGCAUGUGGUUUAAUUCGAUGCAACGCGAAGAACCUUACCUACUCUUGACAUCCAGAGAACUUUCCAGAGAUGGAUUGGUGCCUUCGGGAACUCUGAGACAGGUGCUGCAUGGCUGUCGUCAGCUCGUGUUGUGAAAUGUUGGGUUAAGUCCCGCAACGAGCGCAACCCUUAUCCUUUGUUGCCAGCGGUCCGGCCGGGAACUCAAAGGAGACUGCCAGUGAUAAACUGGAGGAAGGUGGGGAUGACGUCAAGUCAUCAUGGCCCUUACGAGUAGGGCUACACACGUGCUACAAUGGCGCAUACAAAGAGAAGCGAACUCGCGAGAGCAAGCGGACCUCAUAAAGUGCGUCGUAGUCCGGAUUGGAGUCUGCAACUCGACUCCAUGAAGUCGGAAUCGCUAGUAAUCGUAGAUCAGAAUGCUACGGUGAAUACGUUCCCGGGCCUUGUACACACCGCCCGUCACACCAUGGGAGUGGGUUGCAAAAGAAGUAGGUAGCUUAACCUUCGGGAGGGCGCUUACCACUUUGUGAUUCAUGACUGGGGUGAAGUCGUAACAAGGUAACC
rnacentral:rRNA from 1 species